AUGCAUGAAGGUCGAUGGUAUAUUCAUCCAAUUCUACUCCAAGGAUCCAUGAUUCCAAUUCAAAAAGUGAAGACUACUGCUUAUCAAUACAUUACCUCCGACGUCUGCAAUCGGAUCCGAUCCGUUGUGCUGCAUUUUGCUGAUAAUCACGUGCCCCCUGGCAAAGUGUUAUCGCCUGAACACCAAGAGAGGUGCAAAGCUCUUGUUAAUCAGAUUUGUGGCAAUCUAGAUGCAGCUGCUACUGUUAUGUACAAGGAGUUCACAAACAGGAUUGCCGAGGCAGAAAAUGCUCGCUUGACAAUCAACAUGUGCAUCUAG
rnacentral:rRNA from 1 species